CUUAAUUCCCAUCCUCUGUUUCUCUACAUGUAAGAAGUGAAACAGAAGUCCUGGAAGUAUAUGGCUAGUGACCUUGCCAGUUAGAGUCUUCUCCACCCUUGCUUGGAAAGGAUUCAAUAAAAUCAAAAGGUGCUAGAGCUGGUCAGAUUGAUCUAGCAGAAAGAUGGCUGCCAUUGGCUAUUUUAGUUUUCUUUCCAUGGCAAGACUGUCAUGGUGCCUGGAUAUUUCAGGAACUGCAGUAUAAAAAUUGACUGUGGAGGAAAGAACCUAACAGACCAGUAACAAUGGAAGAAAUUGAGAAAGUUAUCAAAAAGCUACCAUCCCCCAAAACACCAGGCCCAGAUGGUGUUACAGGUGAAGUCCUUUAACUUGAAGGAAAAGGUAAUUUUGAUAAGGUUUAAAUUUUACACCCGCCUUGGGAAGGAAAAGUGACAGAUUGUUUUUACAGAGCUAAUGGAACAUGGACGCCUGAACUUGGUAUGAGAUAGUAAUAAAAUUAAAAAUUUGGUAUGUUCUAGUGAUGUG
rnacentral:lncRNA from 1 species